CUCACAGCUUUAUUAAAAGCUAUUUAUUAGAAUAAAGCAAGAAAUGU
rfam:Aptenodytes forsteri contig49999, whole genome shotgun sequence.